CACGUAGGCGGACCGGAAAGUUGGAGGUGAAAUCCCAGGGCUCAACCUCGGAACUGCCUUCAAAACUAUCGGUCUGGAGUUCGAGAGAGGUGAGUGGAAUUCCGAGUGUAGAGGUGAAAUUCGUAGAUAUUCGGAGGAACACCAGUGGCGAAGGCGGCUCACUGGCUCGAUACUGACGCUGAGGUGCGAAAGCGUGGGGAGCAAACAG
rnacentral:rRNA from 1 species